GGAUUGUUAAGGGGGGCUGGGUCGAGAUAACUCAGCAUCCCAUCAGCUCCGCACACCCCGGUCUUUACGGAUUAACCACCCCCACCCCGUAAGAAGUCCGCUCUAAGGACUAUAAGGGCAAAAGAGUAAGAAAGUACUGCCUCUUGGAAUACGCUGGAAAGUCUUUUACUGACUAAAGAGGGAGAUGACAGCUUCUAGUCCUAAAUUUAUGUCACAUUGCUCUGCACUGCACAGAUUUCCUUUGACUAAUGGGAUAUGGUGCACACACGCCUAUACAGGGUUCUUGAAAACUCUUUUCUCAGUAUUGGCCAGGAUGUAAUGCUAUAGACAGUAGCUGAGAUCUGCCUAGACCACAGCACCGUGAGCUAAAUGACUCAUCACUUCCCACUAUCAAAAGACAUGUGAUACACUGCUCAUUAACUCAUAACCUAAGAGACUACCUUUCUUGCAAGUGGAGAAUCCAGUAUGACUUUGAUUAGGGUACAGAGAUCCAGUGCUGGAUGUGGGAGCAGGAGAUGUAGCAUUCGGGGCAGAAAAAAAGGAAGUAAAAUCUCUGACUCAGGCAAUAGUGAACGUGGGGAGAAAGACACAGUCUGAGAUAUCAGAUUCAAGGGCGUGACCAGAGAGCAGGAAGCGGAUUAUAGCAGAAGAGGAGACCAGGAAGAGUCCCCAGACUAUGGAAUGCAGAGGAAGGAGGCUGUUAUGGAGACCUGUGGUCAGGUACCAGCACAACUCGAGAGUAUGUAUGAUGCUGGGUGUUUGUUUGCUUUUUAGGGCUGCACCUGUGGAAGUUCCCAGCCUAGGGGUCGAAUCGGAGCUACAGCUGCCGGUCUACGCCACAGCCACAGCCACAGCCACAGCCACAUGGGGUCCAAGCUGUGUCUGUGACCUACACCAUAGCUCAGGGCAACCCCGGAUCCUUAACCCACUGAGUGAGGCCAGGGAUAGAACCCGAGUGCUCAUGAGUACUAGUCAGAUUCGUUUCUGCUGCGCCACAAUGGGAACUCCAGAGAGCUUGGAAAGCAAACUUAAAAAAAAAAAAUCAUCUUAAAAGAUCUCAUUAGAAAGAUCCGAAGAAUGAUAUCAGAAACCUUUUAAUUUGUUUUGGGAAAAAACAGUACAAAGCAAAUUGUAGAUUUCUAUACAAAAUAGUUCUAAUUCCAGAGGAUAAUUUCACUGUCAACAAAUCUUUCUGUGGUCUUUAUAAAGUUUCAAGUUAAAAACCUUCCUAAACCUUCUGGUGUGUGUAUGUAUAUAUACACACACACUUAUAUCUGGCCAAGGUGGGCAAUAAGCUUGAAUCAAGAUUUAGGUUUCCAAAGUAGCAAAGCCAGAGACUUCCUUUGUGGCUGGCAACAUAACUACAAAGUAGCAAAGCCAAAUAGACAGUGUCCUUGCAGAAAUCUUUUUUUUUUUUUUUUUGGCCGUGCCUGUGGCAUGUGGAAGUUCUCAGGCCAGGGAUGAACGCACCCCACAGCAGCAACCCAGGGUGCUGCAGUGACAAUGCCAGAUCCUUAACCUGCUAUGCCACACAAGUGAAUUCCAUCCUUGCAGAAUUCUCUUGUAAAAUGUUUCUUAUUUAUUUUUAAAGGGUUUGGGGGGAGCUUGGGGUGGGGGAGGCAAGGGGGAAAGGGAAUCCAAGUAUGCCCCAUUCAUCUAUAUGACACCAUAAUAACUUGUAGACAAGAUAAUUACUUGGUUCCUUCGACUGUAAGGUAACAAAUCAUGAUCAGUUUUGGUUUUGUGUGGACGCACUCCUGAUGAAGGUAAGACAUUGAGGACCAGAGUGAAGGCAACUCAGUGUGUUAAUGUCUCAUUCAAGAAAAGGGAAGCAGGGAAAUUCUGAAUGUGUCUUCAUGAUGAGGAUAGAGUGUGGUGGUUUGGGAACAUGGGGUGAGGGUAUUUCUUUGGCUUAUUUCAUCAUCGUUAGAGCACACACUAACAAUUGUAUUCCAUUUCUUAAAUUCCACUGGUUCUGGAAUUCCAGCCAAGGUCCCUCCAGAUCAUGGUGCUCCCUUGACCCCAUGGUGCUGCUGGGGAAGGCGCUUCAUUCUCUUUGCAUCAUAAAUCGUUUGUUUGUUUAUUUGUUUUAGGGCUGCACCCACAGCAUAUGGAGGUCCCCAGGCUAGGGGUCUAUUCGGAGCUGUAGCCACCGGCUACAGCCACAGCCACAGAAACACCAGAUCCAAGCCACAUCUGCGACCUACACCACAGCUCACUGGCAGCCUCGGAUCCUCAACCCACUGAGUGAGGCCAGGGAUCAAACCCACAUCGUCAGGGUUCCUAGUCAGAUUUGUUCCCGCUGCGCCACGAUGGGAGCUCCUGCAUCAUCAAUUGUUUAGCAAUCUAUUCAUGAAAGCAAAAAAAUAUAUAAAAUUCUAUGAAAAUGAUCUUGAGCACCUGCUUAAUGUAUCCAGAUAAAGUUUUUUUCUGGAUAUAAUAUCCUUAAAAAUUGAAACUCAGCCAAAGCUUCAACUGGUUGAUCCUUUAGCAUUUUGAGAAGUCAUGAUUCAAACAGAAGAGACAGCCUCUUGCUUCACCCCACUCAUUCUAAGCCUAUAACCGAGACAAGAUGUCCUGCUCCCUGGGAAAAGGACGCCACCACACUUUGGCGCAUCUGCCCUUUUAGAAUGUUCCCCAAACACUAACAGCUGCAGCUGGGCCUGCCAAGGGGAUGCUUCUGUGACACAAAAAGCCUUUUAUUACGGUUCUCAAUGCUAUUUGUGAUGUUUGGAUUCUUCUGUUGUUACUGUUAUUCUUGAAGGUUGCUUCUGGUUUGGAGCACUCGUUAAAACCUAGGGAUAGCUUUUCCUUGGAUCAAAGUUACUUCUGCCCAGGAACAGUGGUAGAGAAGUACACUGAACAGAGCUUUGGCACAAAGCAUCUUCCAGAUGGGAUGAGAACACCUGAGCAAUCCAAUACAAACCCACAUUUUUAUUAGGUGACAGAGCAUGUCUUAUUAUUUUCAUGUCCUAUCCUUCGGACUUAAAGUCUUCAUCCUACUUUAAAUGUGCAGAUUUUAAAAAUUCUAUUUCUUAAUGAAAAAGAAACUAAGAGGGAGAUACAAAGUUUAGUGUUUUUAAGUGUAGGCUUCGGGGAUAGUGAUUUAUUCACUUUAUGCCCCUUGGUGAUACCAAUGAAAAUGAAUAUCAAGCAAACUUAGAAGUUCGCAGGCUUUUUCCUCUCAGGCUUCUGUGCAAUUAAUUAGAACAAUAGGGAAGCCUUUCAUGAAAGUUAUAUCUUCAGGCUCAGCCUCAUGUUCUUUUAUCUGAACAUAACAUGUUGGUUUCUAAUGUCUUUUCUUCCUCCCACCGCCAAUCAUGUAGGCUAACAGCCAAUCAAAAAGCAAAGAGAUUUUCUAAUACUAAGAGUAUGAUGUAUUUAACAUGAUAAAUCACUGCCGUAAUUUCAAAGUAUAGCUUUCAUGCAGGAAAAAAAAAAGUCUUUGUCAUCAUAGAAGUUGCCCUUUACAAACGACAGUGAAUACGAUAAUUAAUUUCUUUGAUUUAUAUCUAUCAAUACAUAUUACUGAGUUCCUGAGGGAGUCACAGCAGUGUGCUCCCUGUUCUGCUGCUUUUGAAUCCAGUAUGAAUCAGGGAUCUGUCGACAAGGGUCUUGUUGACUAGUAGGGGACGUCAAGCAGAUGUGUGAAAGCAGCGUUGCCAAGCUAGGGUUGGGUGUUGUGGAAGCCGGGGUGUGCUCUGCCUCAGUACAUUCCCCAGAUGCUGGAGAGACUUCACUGAAGUCUUUCUGCCAGGAUUUCUCUUAGCCAAAGACUGCCACCCCUGCAAGGUCAUGUUCCCUCCAAGAAAGCAGGCUUUAUCCAAUGACAGGGGGGUAACUAAAGGCCCCAGGUCCCUUGCCUCCAGACAGGAUAACUCUGAAAGAUGAUCCCAGAUCCAGAGCAACCAGUUGGACCACUGAAAUAUGUUACAUUUAUUUAUUUUAUUUUGUCUUUUUAUGGCCCCACUCAAAUCACAUGGAAGUUCCCAGGCCUGGGGUCGAAUCAGAGCUGUAACUGCCGGCCUACACCACAGCCACCAUUGCAGAAUCCUUAACCCAGUGAUCAAGGCUGGGGAUUGAACCUGAGUCCUCAUGAAUACUAGUCGGGUUCGUUACCGCUGAGCCACGAUGGGAACUCCUCUAUGAAAUUUAAUGCUCAAAUGAAAUAAUUUAAAAUGUUUAUUUCAUUUACACAAAAUUGUACAGUUCUCCCUGUAUUAAGAAAAAUCAGUCUGUCACUACUUUUCUCAAGACAGGAUCUACCUCCUUCUCACAGAAAAGCUUUCCUAACAUCCCAGUUUGGGCGAGGAACCUUCUGCAGCCGCUGUGCAAUCUCCUGCCGUGUCCUUAGCAGAUUUAAUUGUCUGUCUUCUCCUGCUGAGUAGACCAAGCAACCUGUGCUCAAGACCGUGGAUCUCAGCUCUGUGGCCUCAGUGCCCAGCCCAGGGUCUGCUACAUAAUGCGUGUGCAAUACAUGGUAAAGAAACUAAUGACGAUAAACAAACCCGGUAAAUCUUUCCAAGACAGGAGGACUCUUUUCGAACAGUCACGGUGCCAAAGUUUUAAGAAGCAAAGACGUGUGCUGCGCUAUAAAUCAUCACGUAAAAAUGGCAUAAUAACAAAAAAGAAACCUACUCACAGACACAGACAACAAGCCUGUGGAUACCAAAGGGGAGAGGAAAUGGGGAAGGACAAAUUAGAGGUUAACAGAUACAAACUCUUACGUAUAAAACAGGUAAGCAACAAGGAUGUAUUGGAUAGUACAGAAAAUUAUGGCCAUUAUCUUGUAAUAACUUAUAAAGGAGUAUAAUCUGUAAAAAUAUAGAAUCCCUAUGCUAUAAUCUGAAAUGAAUACAAUAUUGUAGAUCAAUUAUACUUCAAUAAGAAAAUUAAUAAAAAUAAAAAAAGACCUAAGAAGCCAAACUUUAUAAAAUCCCCUUUUUAUCCUUCCUAGAUACUCAAUUGUUUUGAAGGUUACAUAAAAGGAAAUAACUAAGCUAAAUGGUGAAAAGCAAAAAUAAAAAGUCACUGUUAUCUCAGCAGUGACCGUGUAGCCAGGAACACUAGUUGGAAGAGCCUGGCAGGGGACUGCAAGCCUGGGAUCACUUUUACACAGCAGCUUCCAUUUUACUCCUUUAUGAAACUGUGGGAGAGAGAGUUCCCUUCGUGGCUCAGAGGUUAAUGACCCCGACUAGGAUCCAUGAAGAUGCGGGUUUGAUCCCUGGCCUCGCUCAGUGGAUUAAGGAUCCGGCGUUGCCGUGAACUGUG
rnacentral:lncRNA from 1 species